CCUACGGGAGACAGCAGUGGGGAAUAUUGCACAAUGGGGGAAACCCUGAUGCAGCGACGCCGCGUGAGUGAAGAAGUAUUUCGGUACGUAAAGCUCUAUCAGCAGGGAAGAAAAUGACGGUACCUGACUAAGAAGCCCCGGCUAACUACGUGCCAGCAGCCGUGGUAAUACGUAGGGGGCAAGCGUUAUCCGGAUUUACUGGGUGUAAAGGGAGCGUAGACGGCAGCGCAAGUCUGGAGUGAAAUCCCAUGGCUUAACCAUGGAACUGCUUUGGAAACUGUGCAGCUAGAGUGCAGGAGAGGUAAGCGGAAUGCCUAGUGUAGCGGUGAAAUGCGUAGAUAUUAGGAGGAACACCAGUGGCGAAGGCGGCUUACUGGACUGUAACUGACGUUGAGGCUCGAAAGCGUGGGGAGCAAACAGGAUUAGAUACCCGAGUAGUC
rnacentral:rRNA from 1 species